rnacentral:rRNA from 1 species
UACAGAGGGCCCAAGCGUUGUUCGGAUUCAUUGGGCGUAAAGGGGGCGUAGGUGGCGCCGUAAGUCGGGUGUGAAAUUUCGGAGCUUAACUCCGAAACUGCAUUCGAUACUGCGGUGCUUGAGGACUGGAGAGGAGACUGGAAUUCAUGGUGUAGCAGUGAAAUGCGUAGAGAUCAUGAGGAAGACCAGUGGCGAAGGCGGGUCUCUGGACAGUUCCUGACACUGAGGCACGAAGGCCAGGGGAGCAAACGGG